AAAAAAAUGGGGGUGAGAAAGUCUCUACUCUCAGAAAGGGGAAAGGAAAAUGAUAUGGUACACAUCCCCUUGUCUGGUAAUCACUGCCAUGGUGGCCGAGAUUUGCAAGUGGGUCAAAGAGAAAUAGACAUUAUAUUAUCUAUUUCCGAAAGGGCACGUGAAGCCACAAUUAUGACUUAGCAAGUGGGUCGUUUCCCACCCGCCCCAGAAAGGUGAAUUCAAGAGUUCCCCUGGGGAAGGGUGGCUGGGUAGACUAGGAAUUCUCUCCCCUUAACUACUCAAGGGAGAACCCCAAAGCACGGGGAAGGCAUCAUGCCAUCGGGGUUCGGAAACGGUUCAAAUCUCCCGAAGGGUCCCUGGCCGAGAGCGUGUGACCUCCGCCAGGCGAUGGGUUCGCCCCAGCUUCAGUUUCUACAAAAGGACAGCAGGCUCCCGGCGGCAUCCGGGGCCGCGCACAGUGCAGGGUGUACCAGACAGCGCUAACCCGAAGUCCCGCUUGGCGCGGCGGGCCCAGCCUGUCCCUCGGGGCAUGGCCACCGCCCAGGCCUCGGCCGCCGGCCACGCGGCCACCACGCCCCGACUCCCAGCCACCGCCCCUCCCGCCGGGCCCCACCCGGCCGGUCCGACUCACCGGUGUAGUGAACAACGCAGGUCUGGCCGCGCUUCGGGAAGGUGCGCCCUGAGGAGAGACAGACUGCAGGUGAGUGGCUGGAGCUGCGGCCGGGGAGCGGGGCGGCGGGUGUCUACUCACCGUCUCCAGGAGAGAUGGUCUCCACCUGCACUCCCAUGGCGGCGGCGGCGUUGGCGGAGGAGAAGAACGCGGGUGGCGGCGCGACGGGCGGCGUGGAGCCGGAGCGGACCUGGCGGCGGUUCAGAUGUUCAGCUUCGUCCCUCUCGUGUCUUCUGCGCACGCGCACGGCACUGCACGCCCCGCCCCGCCCUGCUUGCGCGAGGCGCUCCCAUCCCUGAGCGGGGCGGCUGGGCGGAGGGACCGGAAGUCCGGAGGCCACCGACCCCCGGAUGCAGCUGCGGCGGAAGGCGCGUCCUGUUGGCUACUCCCGGCUUUCCUCUGCGUUUCUCCGCCUCGGAAACGCCGCGGUAAUAACGGGUCCACCAGCUACUGACGAGCUCACUUAGAGAUGCUUUACUCUCGCGCGCGUCUAAUUGUCCUGUAAAGACGACAGUUGUGAGUUGGCGGUGCACCUGUGGAACCAAGGGAAGGUCCGUAAGUGGCCCUCGGUUCCGAGCUCCCUAUUGGAAGAGUCAGUGUUAACACUGGCCUGCACGAAAGCCCACUUUCCACGAAUACUAUAUAUUAAUAUAUAUGGAAAUGUAGAGGGCAGUGGUGGCGCACGACUUUAAUCCCAGCACUCGGGAGGUAGAGGCAGGCCUGGUCUACAGAGCGAGUUCCAGGGCAGUCAAGAAGGAUAAACUUCUUUGUCUCAAAAAAACAAAACAAAACAAACAAAACCAAAAAGAAAAUAUCUAUGUAUGGGGCUCUGUGAGUUUUGCUUGAAUAUCUUCAGUACUUUAAAGAAUAAAAACUUAAUGGGCUAGAAAGAUGGCUCCGGUGUUAAAAGCACUGGUUGCUCUUCCCGAGUUCAAUUCCCACACCCACAUAUAACGUUUCACAACUGUCUGUGCUAUCUCCAGUUCCAGGGAAUCACACACUCGGUGUACAGGUGCAUACAUAGGCAGAACACUCAUUCACAUAAAAUAAAAGUGCCAGGGUUGCUGGUGCAGACCUCUAACCCCAGUGCUGAGAAGAGGCUAGUCAGACUAGCCUAUUCAGUGAGCCCCGGGCCAGUGAGAAACCGUAUCAAAAGAGGUAGACAGGAAACAACGUUCCCGAAGACCAUACGUGCAGCUGAACCAGUCUGCCUCCAUCUUAGGCUGAAUUCAGAAAUUCAGAAGCUGGUUCCUUACCUCUGGCCCUCUGGGACUGAGUAACUGUACCUUAGGGGGUGCACAUCUUGGAGAAGCACACACCUUCAGUUUGUUGGAGUGCCUGAGCAAACAUCAGCAUCAAAAAACCAAGCCAACAAACCCCUUAAAAACAUAUUAUUUAUUUUAUGGAGUCUUCCUCUGGUAAAUCAUAGAAGCUUUUAAUUUUUUUUCUAUGACAUCUGGUUUCUGGUUCUGUUAGAUCCCAAUCUAGGGACCAAACUGCUGCAGAGGUGAUCUACACCACGACAUCCCCACAAACAGAGCCAGAAAGUCCUGGACUUGCUCAGAGCUGAUGUAAACCAGUCUAGUCAACGUGCUACUUCCUUUCUCUUUGUCUGGGCCAGCAAACCACAUGCUUCUGACGAAUACCCCACAACCCUAGCCCCCUCCUGGCCUUUGGGUAAUAUUUCAGCCUUACUGGGCUCUAACAAUGACAUCCUAAUCUUUGCAGUUAGUAGGUAUAGAGAAGAAUACAUCUUCUCUUGUUCUCAGCCAAGAGUUGGAAUAUUAGGUCCAAGGGAACUAACUCCCUGGCAAAGGAAACAAAAUAGCUACUUAUAGAACUUAUUGGCAUACCAAGAUUAUGUGGCCUUAAAAUAUUUGUUUUAUCCUUGCUAACCAAACAGAUGUAAUUUAUGAUUUCAUCAUUUGAUACAUUCCAAAUUUUGUUUCCACCCAGAUAAAGAAUGCUAAGACCCUACCAAAGAUUUCACAGGGGCACAGAAGACAGGCAGGGAAUGAAGAUCCAGCCUGCCUCCAUCCUAGGUUUCAAAGCCAUCUUAUCAUAAAGACAAAGGAGGACAGGAAGCAAGCAGUUUGCCCAAUGAUCCCAGAAGAGAGCUGCAUUUUAAAAACUGCCUUUCCUUUGUGCUCAACCUUCCAGCUGCCUUGAGCAAGCUAUUUGAGCAACAGAACCCACCCACCUCCUGCUCCCUUGGAGAUGCUCAAUGUCCUUUGUAAUCUGGCUGAGGUCAGUGGCAGCUUUAAAGGCCAGAUGGGUGACAGAGUGGGUACGUAAGGUUGAGCUGAGGACAAGAAGAGAAUUGAAAGCCACUGUCCACCUUUCCUGUCCUUCUGAUAUGUUAAACCACAACAAACUACGGCACACCUCUCCCUGGGAUGAAAGCACUACAACCCAGAAAUAUUCUGUAUCACAGGACUGAUGGUCUGAGGAUGGACUGAGAUCACGCAGGGGUUCUGCAUCACAGGACUGAUGGUCUGAGGAUGGAAUGAGAUCACGCAGGGGAAGGAAUUAGCUUAUCAUGAAAUGAAGGAAAGAGCACAAUAAAUGGUUUAUUUAUUACA